rnacentral:tRNA from 1 species
GGGCGAUUAGCUCAGUUGGGAGAGCACCUGCCUUACAAGCAGGGGGGCACUGGUUCGAACCCGGUAUCGCCCACCA